CAGCAGCCGCGGUAAUACGUAGGGUGCAAGCGUUAAUCGGAAUUACUGGGCGUAAAGCGUGCGCAGGCGGUUAUAUAAGACAGAUGUGAAAUCCCCGGGCUCAACCUGGGAACUGCAUUUGUGACUGUAUAGCUAGAGUACGGCAGAGGGGGAUGGAAUUCCGCGUGUAGCAGUGAAAUGCGUAGAUAUGCGGAGGAACACCGAUGGCGAAGGCAAUCCCCUGGGCCUGUACUGACGCUUAUGCACGAAAGCGUGGGGAGCAAACAGGAUUAGAUACCCCAGUAGUCCCUGUCUCUUAUAC
rnacentral:rRNA from 1 species